GACGAACGCUGGCGGCGUGCCUAAUACAUGCAAGUGGGACGCAAGGAAACACACUGUGCUUGCACACCGUGUUUUCUUGAGUCGCGAACGGGUGAGUAACGCGUAGGUAACCUGCCUAUUAGCGGGGGAUAACUAUUGGAAACGAUAGCUAAUACCGCAUAAUAUUAAUUAUUGCAUGAUAAUUGAUUGAAAGAUGCAAGCGCAUCACUAGUAGAUGGACCUGCGUUGUAUUAGCUAGUUGGUAAGGUAAGAGCUUACCAAGGCGACGAUACAUAGCCGACCUGAGAGGGUGAUCGGCCACACUGGGACUGAGACACGGCCCAGACUCCUACGGGAGGCAGCAGUAGGGAAUCUUCGGCAAUGGACAAAAGUCUGACCGAGCAACGCCGCGUGAGUGAAGAAGGUUUUCGGAUCGUAAAGCUCUGUUGUAAGUCAAGAACGUGUGUGAGAGUGGAA
rnacentral:rRNA from 1 species